AAUUCCUGUCUUAUUUCUGCUAACUUUCUACAAUUAAGUUGAUUAAAUUCCAUGAAAGAUAGAAUUUCUCGAUUAGAAAAGGAACGAUCCGUAUAGUCAUCGGAAAAACGAAAUUUUGAUUCUUCCUUGCAAACACAAAAACGAGACUCAUAUGAAGGAUUACCUACGUAUCUUCUUCAUUGUCAGCGUUUGGCACGCAACAUCCAUGUAUAAGUAGAUAUGAAGAUAAUAGAGAUAAGAGAGAUAUGAAAGUAAACCCUCCGUUUAUGAAAUCUUAAUACGUUUCAAAGUUGCCGUCAUUUAUUGUUGAAAACUUGAAACAGUGAAAGUGAAAAUGUUCCGGCAUAUCUUUCACCAGGGCAUCUUUACGCUUCUACAACAGGGAAUUGGGUAUGAUAACCACGUUAUGUGCAACGGACUUCCAGUUCAGUAACGUCUCACAAGCAACUAUAUGUAUAUCUUAGUUUUGUCUGUCGUUCUAGUCCUUCGACGUCGAUGCUUCCGCCAAGUGUUGAAAAUUACCUUAUGUGGAAAAGUGUAAACCUCAAUCAAGAUGGGAAACCUGAUGUACCGUGAGACUUUUGGAUAAUCGCUGCUCGUUCUUGUGACGCCAAACAACCGCUUUGUUUCUGGAAAAUCUAAAAAUGGAGUUGUAAAAUUAGCGUAUGAUCGUUCCUGCAUCAAAUGGGGGCAUGCGAUUAACAGUAAGAUCCAAUUAAACAAAACGCUUUAAGGAAAUUACAUGAUGAUUGAAGUGAAUGUUUCCAUGGGUACGUACCAUUGUUGAAGGUGAUGGAAAGAACUUACCAAUCAUGGCUCACCCACCUUUGAAAACUUCUGACCUGAGUCUGGAAGAAUUCAUCGACACAAUUAUAAGAAGUGGUACAAGUAAAGAAAUCAAACUUGAUUUCAAAGAUACAGAAGCUGUCCAUCCUUCUUUAGAGAUAAUCAAAUCUAGGAAUACCAAGUUGGCAGCAUUUUCAAGUUAUUUGCAAGCUGAAUUAUGUCAGCACAAUUUUUAAAAAAGAUUAGCAAACCCCUUUGGCUGAACGCGGACAUUCUGCCAGGACCUGUGAACGACACUACGGAGCCAAUUAGUGAAAUAAUUUCAGCAUUCAAUAUUUCUUAUUACUACUAAUAGGUGAGUUCUAUUUUGAUUACAGAUGCUGGGGUGUUUCUGAAUUUGGCAAACACCUGUUAGAGUAUGAGCAGCCACAUUAAUCAUACAUCUAGCCAUUACAUGAAUACACUUAACAUGUUCAUCAAGAUUACUUACUUCCUUUUAUUCAGUAAAAGACUCCAAUAUAAGACACACACUUCAGAGCCUGUUCAGAAGGAAGUCAAUACUUAAGUCCUAAUAGCUUAGGCAAAACGUCACACACACGUAUCUGUCGUCGAGCAAACAAUCUGAGGUUUCAACAACCCCGUGCACUUGAACAGCUGGCGAUAGGCUGAAUGGGUAAAGAGAAAUUUU